UGCAGAUGAUGUGAAGAAUAUUUGCUAUCUGAUGAGCGAUGCUGACUCCCACCAAGAUCACUGAUGCA
ensembl:snoRNA SNORD24 Small nucleolar RNA SNORD24